CGACCGGCGGCACGGGUGAGUAAGCGUAUCCAACCUGCCGAUAACUCGGGGAUAGCCUUUCGAAAGAAAGAUUAAUAUCCGAUAGCAUAUCAAUCCCGCAUGAGAUUGAUAUUAAAGAAUUUCGGUUAUCGAUGGGAUGCGUUCCAUUAGGCAGUUGGUGGGGUAACGGCCCACCAAACCUUCGAUGGAUAGGGGUUCUGAGAGGAAGGUCCCCCACAUUGGAACUGAGACACGGUCCAA
rnacentral:rRNA from 1 species